UGGGGAAUAUUGGACAAUGGGCGAAAGCCUGAUCCAGCCAUGCCGCGUGUGUGAAGGAGGCCUUUUGGUUGUAAAGCACUUUAAGCGAGGAGGAGGCUACUAGUACUAAUACUACUGGAUAGUGGACGUUACUCGCAGAAUAAGCACCGGCUAACUCUGUGCCAGCAGCCGCGGUAAUACAGAGGGUGCGAGCGUUAAUCGGAUUUACUGGGCGUAAAGCGUGCGUAGGCGGCUGAUUAAGUCGGAUGUGAAAUCCCUGAGCUUAACUUAGGAAUUGCAUUCGAUACUGGUCAGCUAGAGUAUGGGAGAGGAUGGUAGAAUUCCAGGUGUAGCGGUGAAAUGCGUAGAGAUCUGGAGGAAUACCGAUGGCGAAGGCAGCCAUCUGGCCUAAUACUGACGCUGAGGUACGAAAGCAUGGGGAGCAAACAGG
rnacentral:rRNA from 1 species